UACGUAUGUGGCGAGCGUUGUUCGGAAUUACUGGGCAUAAAGAGUUCGUAGGCGGACUUGUCAGUUGGGUGUGAAAUCCCGGGGCUUACCCCCGGAACUGCACUCAAUACUGCAAGUCUGGAGUCCUUCAGGGGUAAGUGGAAUUCCAUGUGUAGCGGUGAAAUGCGUAGAUAUAUGGGAGAACGCCAAUGGCGAAGGCAGCUUACUGGGGAGUGACUGACGCUGAGGAACGAAAGUUAGGGUAUCGAACGGG
rnacentral:rRNA from 1 species